rnacentral:sRNA from 1 species
AGCCGUCUUCCUUCUAGCGAUCAAAACAAUCACGCCUUGUUUUCCGCCGCAAGAUUGGUGGGCAGGAGCAUGACCGCGAGCGCUGAUCGAGCGAGAUAGAGAUCGAGUCCGCGACUCCGCAACGGCGUCUCUGCCCUCCGCGCCAUGACCGCGAUGGCGCGACUGCUCUGUCCUCUCGACUCACUCAUUCGAUUUUUGAUGACCUGAUCGUCGACCGUCAUCGCCGGACGCCGGCUCGCCGCUUCGGCGAAUCAGCCUUCAGCGCUUCUGUUCAGUGGCAUGCCGCGUGUGUCAUGGCCGGUUCGUCGGCGCCGGCCGCCGGGAUCAGCGAUUUCUUUUUCUGUUCGGCGUCCAGACUCCAGAACUCCAGCAGCGUGCAGGCGGCAGGCAUGUGGCUGUGAUGCCGUGUGGGUGUGGCAGAUUGCAUAAAAAAGAUGAAGAUAUUGCAGGAUGUUUUCAUUCAUUAAGCGGGAUGUUUUUCUUCAAAGUGAAUGAAGAAAAUAUAAUGGACACUUUCAUGGCCACUGUUAGAAGUAGACCUUAUAAAAAGUAGUAGUAUGGUAAUUUUCUUCAAACUUUUCUAGCCAUAUAAACUUGUUUAAGUCUGAAUUUUACUAAUUAAUUGCUAAUUUAUAUAUGUUUUAAGAUGUCUUAUUAAUAUAUAUAACAUGGUACACUUUUGGUUU